GGAAGUAGAAGUCGUAACAAGGUUUCCGUAGGUGAACCUGCGGAAGGAUCAUUACCGAGUUAGGGUCUUCUAGGCCCGACCUCCCAACCCUGUGUCUAUCCAACCUUUUGUUGCUUCGGCGAGCCCGUCCCCCUGGGGACCGCCGGAGGACCGUCAAACUGUCCUCUGGCCCGCGCUCGCCGAUGGCCCAAAACCAAAACUCUUGAACUAAACAUGAAUUGUCUAAGUACCACAUUUAAUAAAACAAAACUUUCAACAACGGAUCUCUUGGUUCUG
rnacentral:misc_RNA from 1 species